rnacentral:rRNA from 1 species
AUGGAGGACACGGCGGCGACGCUGGCGACGGAGCUGGACGGGCUGCUGGCCAUGGCGAGGGAGCUGGAGGCGCGCGUCGACGGCGACCAGGGCGCGCCGGGCGCCGCCAGGGAGCUCUGCGCCGAGCUGGCCGCGUCUGUCGACCGGGCCAUGCGCCUCGCCGGCGAAGGCAAUGCCACCGGCAGGGCGAGCGUGAGCGGCAGGAAGGCCGCGGCGGGGAAGGUGAGGAGGCAGGUGCGGGUGGCGUCGGUGACGGACGCGGGGCCGCUCAACGACGGGCUGAGCUGGCGAAAGUACGGCCAGAAGGACAUCCUCGGCGCCCCGUACCCCAGGGCAUACUUCCGGUGCACGCACCGGCACACGCAGGGCUGCCAGGCCACCAAGCAGGUGCAACGCGCCGCCGCCGACCCGCUGCUCUUCGAUGUUAUCUACCACGGCGCGCACACCUGCGCCCAGGCCGCCGCGCAGCAGCAGUCGCCUGCUGGCUUCGAGCAGGAGCAGGAGAGCCCGCCGGCCGCGGUGCCGGAGGGGAUUCAGUGGCCGGUCACGCCGCCCUCGUUCCCCUCCCCGCCGGCCGGCACCGUUGGAGACUGCUACCCCUCCGUGUGCGAGCUUGCCGGCGGCUACGGCUACGCCGCCGGCGGAGGCCUCGGGGCUGACAUGGGGUUCGGUGGUCAACUGGACGAGUGGUUCUUGAAUCUGUCCGACGCUUUCCAACCGGAGGUUCAGAACCUGUAG